rnacentral:ncRNA from 19 species
CUGUACAGGCAGCGACUGGCGAUGCCUAUCCAACCCCGGACUAUUUUGCGGGGUUGGUAGACAGGAGGAAUAACCCUCCGGGAAGCGCAUUUACACAAUCGUACGCCUGGGUUGUGCUC